GAAAAACACUACACAGUUUUGAAGUGUAACAACCGCAGAGAAUUUUGUACUCGGAGUGCACUUAUAAAGAUAAGCCAAAACAAGUAUGCUCUUUCUUGCUCCCAGAUAAAAUCGUGCCCACUUGAGAAGGACCAACCUGUGGAAGAAGUAGAGGCAAGUAAAUCUUCCCCCCUCUGGACAGUGACCGAAGAAGACACUGGAAAUUUGCAACAGCCAAGACAAGAGAACCUUAAAAAAAAGAAAAAGAAGCCCAAGAGGUCACUUCUCCGGGAGAUGAUGUCCUUCGAUUCAGAAGGCUCUUCUUAUGACACCAGGUCCCCGGAGUCUAACCCCAACACCUUCCCUGUGUCCAGGGUGGGGGAUUGGGAGGCACCCUGAACCUUUACAACACUUUGAAGAAUAGUGUAUGUGAGCUCAUGCCCCAGUUUCCAGGCCAGGGUAGGUCCCAG
rnacentral:lncRNA from 1 species